rnacentral:rRNA from 1 species
GACAGAGGCCUCAAGCGUUAGGCGGAGUCACUGGGCUUAAAGCGUGUGUAGGCGGGGCGUUAAGUACCUUGUGAAAUCCCACGGCUCACCCGUGGAACUGCUGGGUAUACUGGCGAUCUUGGGCCAACUAGGGGCAACUGGAACAAGCGGUGGAGCGGUGAAAUGCGCAGAUAUCAGGAGGAACACCGGUGGCGAAGGCGGUUCUCUGGGCAUGUCCUGACGCUGAGGAGCGAAAGUGUGGGGAGCGAACAGG